GAUGAACGCUAGCUACAGGCUUAACACAUGCAAGUCGAGGGGCAGCGGUAUCGAAAGCUUGCUUUCGGUAGCCGGCGACCGGCGCACGGGUGAGUAACGCGUAUCGAACCUGCCUCAUACUCGGGAAUAGCCUUGCGAAAGUAAGAUUAAUGCCCGGUGUUUUCAGAGUCCCGCAUGAGGCUUUGAACAAAGAUUUAUCGGUAUGAGAUGGCGAUGCGUCCCAUUAGCUUGUUGGCGGGGUAACGGCCCACCAAGGCAUCGAUGGGUAGGGGUUCUGAGAGGAAGGUCCCCCACAUGGGAACUGAGACCCGGUCCAAACUCCUACGGGAGGCAGCAGUGAGGAAUAUUGGUCAAUGGGCGGAAGCCUGAACCAGCCAAGUAGCGUGCAGGAAGACGGCCCUCCGGGUGGUAAACUGCUUUUAGUUGGGAAUAAAACGGGGCUCGUGAGCCCCCUUGCAUGUACCAUCAGAAAAAGGACCGGCUAAUUCCGUG
rnacentral:rRNA from 1 species